UCUCUGGGGCGGGUGCGUGUGAAACGGGGGCAGCACCAGGCACGGACGAGGCGCGUCGGUGUCGAGUUCCGGGCCCCAGGAUGUGUGGGGCCGCAUCCCAUCCCGGCAGUCACGUCACUUUCUUCUUUUACCGAAAACCCAAACCAGCUCCAGCCAGAGGGCGGUGGGAGUGGACAAACGUGCAGGGGGAAGGAGAACAGAAGCGUCUCUGCCAGCUGCCCCCCCCCCCCCGCCCCCCGGUCUGGGCUACCAAGGGCCUGGCCCGCCCUGCUGAGCCCCACGCAGGCCGGGCCAGGUCCGGGAGGAGUUACGUGCGGCUCCGUGUGUUUCUGGCUUCUCUGCAAAUACUGCGACACCUCCGAUGGGGAACAGCUGACACGAGUGACUGCUAAUCCCCAGGGCGGAGCAGGCUGGCCCUCCCUCCCCGAUCCCAGCAGAUGGUGGCCCCGACAGGCUUCCCUCGAGGCAAGGGCAGGGGAAGGGCCCAGCGUCUGUGCCUUGGGCCCGCCUGCGCCGCUCCCCGCGGCCUGUCCCUGCCCCGGAGGGGCCUGGAGGGCCCUGGAGAGCCCCGGGACCCCACCCCCCGCCCCGUGUCGCCGACCCGCUGCGAGGCUCAAGGUCAGCCAGCGGGCGGGCAGGGCACAGCAGGCGGCGCGGCCUCCCCCUCCAGGAAUCACCCGGGAAGGGCGCUGGGGACUUACUUCCGAUGCAGAUUCCAUCUGCCGAGGUGGACCGGGUGGGUCUAGCUCGCGGCCCCAGGAGGCGCCCCGCCAGCGGCUGGCGGGCGGACCGGGGCGCAGUCGGGGGCCUGCAUCCCACCCCACACUCUUCCCGCGGCCCAGCUCUGCGACCUCCAGCCAGGGAGGCCCACUGGUUCCCUGCCUCAGAGGACAGAGACCAGCCUUGCUCAAACUGCAGGAUGCAGCCAUUGCUCGCUUUGAACACUUCAGUCAAACUUUGCAUCAAAAAAUGAAAUCAGGAUAUUAUUUACACAACAAUGUGAGUGUACUGAUUACUGCUGAACUGCACAAUUUUAAAUGGUUAGCAUGGUAA
rnacentral:lncRNA from 1 species